UACGUAGGGGGCAAGCGUUGUCCGGAUUUAUUGGGCGUAAAGAGCGUGUAGGCGGCUUUGCAAGUCCGUUGUGAAAACUCGAGGCUCAACCUCGAGACGCCGGUGGAAACUGCAAAGCUAGAGUCCGGAAGAGGAGAGUGGAAUUCCUGGUGUAGCGGUGAAAUGCGCAGAUAUCAGGAAGAGCACCCGUGGCGAAGGCGGCUCUCUGGGACGGUACUGACGGCUGAGACGCGAAAGCCAGGGGAGCAAACGGG
rnacentral:rRNA from 1 species